AUUUGUCCUCAUUUUGAAGUGACCUCGCUAAUGUCAUUUUUGUCUGAAAUAUUACCUUGAGCUGCAAACAUAUACACCCUUUGCUGGGCAUAUGUCUCAUUAAGCUAAGUGGGGCAUACGUCUGAGUAGACUCGUAUGAGUUUGCUCUGUAGGUGUUCCUAAUUGUAAAAAGAUUAUAACUAGUUGUUUUCUUUUUGAAGGCUCUAUUAUCAGGUAACAUUUGGGAUAAUAUGAGGUGAUAUCUGUCUUUUUAUCACAAAAACAUCUCAUAUAAGACUGUCUCAAACUGAAGGCAAAGGGUGCAGAGAGCCAGUGUGGUGUAGUGGUUGAGAGCGGUAGUCUCGUAAUCUGGGGAACUGGGUUCGCGUCUCCGCUCCUCCACAUGCAGCUGCUGGGUGACCUUGGGCCAGUCACACUUCUUUGAAGUCUCUCAGCCCCACUCACCUCACAGAGUGUUUGUUGUGGGGUAGGAAGGGAAAGGAGAAUGUUAGCCGCUUUGAGACUCCUUAAAGGGAGUGAAAGGCGGGAUAUCAAAUCCAAACUCUUCUUCUUCUUCUUCUUCUUCUUCUUCUAUGCACAUUUGCAAGUCUCAAUAAAGAGUCCUAUUCUUCCUUUUUAGAAAUAAGAAUGAAGCCCCCUGCCCCCAAAAUGAGAUUCAGUACAGUACGACAUUUUUUGACUUCCAGCUUCCUUAAAUUAAACCACCUUCCUUUGUCAUCACUCAAGCACCAGAAGAAGCAAAGGAUUUCACAGGAUCCAGGUCUCAGCUUAGUACUGUAUUCAGAUAUGAAUGUUGCCUGGAUCUGACACAACUAAAUGCUUAUUGUCAUCUUGGCUUCCUGAUAAAUUUGUUGAUUUGAGGUAUAUCUGUUUGCUUUUCAUUUUCUGACUUACCUUUUAUUUUUAUUUUACUGUGUACUUAGCUGAAACACAAUGCUGGAUUGCUGUUUGUCUUUGCCAAGGUUUAAACUGAUCUGUUAGAUUUUCACAGGAGAAACAACACAGUGAAUAACUCAGAUUUCCCUUAGCAAUACUACCAUAUUGCAUGUAAAAUUUUAUAGCAUAUGGACUGAUUAGCAUUCAGAAACUGGUGGUGGACAUCUAGAAUAUAAAAUACUUGCUGCAGUGGAACACAUUCAAACAUAAUAAUAAUAGCAGUCCGUGGAAUGAAGGAUACAGAGAAGGAAAGUUCUAUACAGUAUUAUAAAGCAUUCAAGUGACACUGCUCGACUUUAGAGCAAGCAACUUGUAAAAGAUUUUUAAAUGGCACUCUGUGGCAUCCACAUAAAGAGUUCCAAGAACAAUUAUUUGGGUUGAUCUUAAUCUUAUAAAAGGAUAGAAGGUCAGAAGUUUAGCUGAAGUCAAUUUGUUGUAACCCUAACCCUAACCCUUUAAAAACAAGGCCCCAGAGUUGCAGAUUUCAAAGGGUGCUACAACAAAGUUAUGCUUUCAGUUGCACACAUAAGUUGUGUAAAGGUAGGGGAGAUCAUUUAGCCAGGCAAGCAGAAAUGCACUGAAAGAAGUCUCUUAGCACUACAUUGAAUUGCACCCUAAUUGAUUUUAGUCUUCCUGCCAUUCUUUGCAUGCAGUAGAACUACUUUAUCUUUGCUUAAAAUGUAAAUCUCUGGCUGUCUACCAUGGUAAACACAUGGUGCAACACUGAAUUCCAGCUCACUUUUAGCACCCCAUGCCUCCCUCCUACAUUCUUUUGCUUGACAGUGAUCAUACUUUUACAGUGGUACCUCGGGUUACAGACUCUUCAGGUUACUGUUGGAGGCAAAGAACAAGAUGGUGCCACUUCCCAUGCCACAUAGUGAAGCAUAUCAAACUGGCAACUAAAUCUUAUUUAAACACUGGCAACAUAAAGUAUCCUUCAUUGUACCUGAGGGUAGCAAGCUAGCUUAGGCAGGGUUGCUCAGAUCGCAUGGUGGACAUAUAUUUAUUCUGUAGCACCUUACUGCGGUUUGCUCUCUGCUUGGCACCUGCCUUCUCAAACAGAUGCUGCAAUGAAGCAGUUCUUUCACCAGCACUCAUCAUGUGAGCAGAGCAACAGAAUAACUACUAGACUGAAAUCCCUGAAUUGGCUACCUGUUUGCUCAGUCAGGGGCCCUUUACAAGUAUGUUGUCUGCAACACAUUGGGAGAAAGUCCAUAGACAAGCUGGUCAGCCAACAUGGAGUAUUGUCCACAUUGGCUCAGGGAAAUAGGAAUGGUUGAUUGUGUGUGGAACACCUGAAGAAGAAAAAACCAAUCAGUUUGCAACCUUCACUUCCACAUUUUUACCUUCCUUGGUAUGCACAUUGCUGAUAAUUCAUACACAGUUGAAUUAAAUAAAUUUCAACUGUCAUUUGCAUACAGAUGUGCUGUUCUUAGUCCAAACGCCCUCUCAGAGCUAUUAGUGUCCUCAGAAUCUGUCACAUUUGGCUACAUUUCUAGUUGAAAUCCUAUUAAAUCCUGGGAGCCUGCAGGUCAUAAAGCCAAUCCCCUGCCAAAAGCAGGAGUUUAUCCAAAGCUAUUCUUGUAAAGGGUAAUAAACCCUCAUCUACACAUACUUGGAUAUAUGAUUGGAAGUUACUUAAAUGAUCCAAAAGUCAUUCCUUCUUAAAGGUCUGAAUCCAAAUGAAAGCAACAACAUGCUUAUGUACUCUGUUCCUAAAGAUCUGCAGUGAUAAAUGUUUUAUCACACAUUUAGGAAGUUAGUUUCAGUACUGAAGCCUAACAAAGAGUUAUUCUUAACUUUGAACGUAAAUCAUUACAGUUGCAAUCUGAAACAUUAUUUCUUGUCUCUCUUCCCCAUGGUAGGAAAGAAGAACAACCAGCCUUUAUCCACUAUAAUAAUACUUUCCUGUGAUAGACAAGAGGAAUUUAAAGUCGCCCUACUUCCUCCUGGCAAUUCUAAGCUAAACUAAUUAUAUUCCAUCAUUCUCUCCUCAUUUUACAUUAAAAUGAAUAACUAUCCGCUUGCUUGAUCAAGAAUUUUUCUAAUGAAUGUUUUAUUUGUCAUAUCAUUGCAACUUACUACUACCAACUCCAGCAUAGCAUUUUCCCAAAUGAAACUUGGUAAAGAAAUUUAUGAUCUAGCAUACCUACAAGUAACUGUGCCUUACCAUUUUUCAGGACAGCUAUUUUGCAAUUUGUUCAGGAAAAUUAGAGUAUGCAAUAAUUCUCCAUGGCUUAUUAGUUUUUAACUUUCUCGUGGCAACAAGAAAAAAAUCCCAGUGUACAUCAAGAUCUGGCAGUUUCCAGCAGUGACAGCUGUACUUAAUGAUUUUAUUUUGUUCCUGAGUUUAUGCCCAGUUUCCCAGUCCUUCCACAUUUCACAACUAUGUGCUAAUCUACAGGGAUUCUGUAGUUUUCUUGCAUGUGCUGAAAACAAACUGAGGGUGAAUACAAGAGGCGUAUUUAGUGGUAUUCUUCCACCAGAGAACCCCUUAAAACUUUUGUCUAACAUCCACAGUUCUGAUAACCUUAAACCUUCAUUUUCUAAAAUAAAGUAUACUUUGAUGUGGAGGAAGAAAAUGGACAGUGUGUGGACAGUAUUAAAGAUGAGAAACCAACAGGGGUUUAGUUCCCAGGGACCAGGAUUGUCCCGCUUACCUGACUAUCUCCUACAUUGCCAUGAACCUUGUAGAGGUUGUAUUGGAGGGACUGUCAGAGCUGGAUAUAGAAUGGGAGGAGCUCAGAGAGUCAGAGGUACAGGACCCUGGGGAGGGGCAGAACAGGCUGUCAGAUGAGCAUCCCACCCCUAUGACACUUAGCACCUCUAGUUCAGUUUUUCCAGCCUUAGAGACACCUCUGACACCACCUCUGGUCACAAAGGAGCCUCCCUCCUUCAGAGGAGAGGUCUAAGAGUAAGCCUGAUGCCAAGAAGGCUCUGACUCCACCUGUCUCUCUAAGGAUGUGUCACUGGCAGCAGUGGUACAAACAAUCUUUGCAUAGCCAGCCUACUCAAAUGAAUGCCCAUUUGAUUGCCCAGUCCCAGACACAUGAUGCUUGCUGCACAAGUGUCUGCCAUACUUCAAAAGGAAGGUGCAGUGUGUGUGUGUGUGUAUUCUUGGAUCAGUAUCUCAGCUCGUGCUUAGCCUUGUAUUCUCAACUUUUGUAGACCUGCUGAAACUUGUAACCUGCAUGCCUUCAAAAGGAAGCCAAACCCUGGUAAACACUGCCCUGGAACUUUUCACCACUUCAAAGUGGGGUACAUGUAAGAACACACAUGUGCACACUGACUAGAGGUGUGUGGCCAGUGUGCCUGCCUUCUGGCUUUCUUCCAAACCAUAUUUACCUGCUGAGGGUAAACAUGGGUGGAAAUAGUUAUUGUUUAAGUUCGCAAGUUAAAUUGCUACAUCUAUCACAUCAUAUUGUUCACCUCGGUGGAAUUGUAAAUGUAAACUUACGUCCUGGAAGACGAGAAAAUAUGUAACUCUCAGUUAAUUGGAAGAAGCAGCCCUGACUUCAGUACUGUCAGCAUGAUUUCAGUCUGGCGAUAUGAUAAUGAUUAUUAUGUCAAAUGCAAUCAAGAAUGCAAGCCUUGAACUGACAAGAGACUUAGUUACUUUUAAAAAUGCAUGAUUUCAUGUAAUAUGUGGUCUCUUAGUCUGUAGUAGCCAAAGCUGGGUACAAAAGGAAACUAACUUAUCCUGAGGAAGAAAUUGUGGUGUUGUUACUUAUUUUUAUACAGCAUUUUACUUCCUGUAAGUUAACAGCUUAGUUUCUUUCUUUCUUUUUAAUGCAUUGGAUAACCAUUCACUUGGCUCUUUUUUUUAGUUACUGAACAGAAACGGAGAUUGGACUAAACUUUAUAUGCUGCCUUUCCACAAAGGAAAUAAGUGGCUUCCAUUAUACAUAAAUAUAUAUUUAAAAAACAACAACAUAAAAAAUAAGCAAAAUACGUACACCUAAGCAUUUCAGUAACUACAUUUCAAUAAACAAUUGUUUCAAUAAACAAUUCAUUGAACCAUCUUUUUAUUUUAAAAAAUUACCAAAAUAUCUGCAUACAUAUGUAUUAAAAUCUUACAUAUUAAAAUACAAAGAACAAUCAUAACAAUCAUUCCAGACAUGGAAGUUGUAAAAACCUAACAAACUGUUAUGGCAAUCAUAGUCACAAAAAACCUAAGAAGUUUGGUGGAACAUGCUCCAACAAAUACCAAGCUGUAUAACACAGGCAACAGUACACCAUAAGGAGAGAACAAGAGCAUUACACUGAAGGUUGAUUCACACAGUAAGUUCACAGUUUUCACACAGACUUUCACAUGCACUUGCUUAGGACUGUGUUUGUAGCCAAGACUAAGUUCAUGGGGUGUAGGCAAGCAUGCUUAUGUUGUACAUAGUCUGUCACUGCACUUGGAGAGGUGAGGCCUCUGACUUAGUUAAGUCGGCACCCUCUCUCCUUUCCUGCUUCUCUGAACUGCAGCUCAGGGCUGUGGGGCUUUGGUGAGGCCAACUUGCCCCAUCCACCCAAGAAUUCUGGGGCCCCAGGGGUUGGUCAUGUGGGAAAGCCUCCCUAUUCACCUUCAGGGCUGCUUGCCCUUGACCUAGCAGGGGAGUGGUACCAUUGCAAGCUUAGCCUGCUUUUUUACAGCAUUUCCCAUGACUGUGUUUUUCUCUGCAGGUUUUGUUUAAACUAAAUAAAGUGCCCCGCCCCCCAGUUUAACACAUUUAUAUAUGCCUGUGCCUUAAUUUAUUUUUUAUUUUUAAUUUUUUUGUUCAUACAAAACCAAAAUAAAAUAACUUUAUAUG
rnacentral:lncRNA from 1 species